GUUCGUUCCGUGUGUUGCCGGAUCGAUCAGUUUUACAACACGGCUCCUGAUCUUGAUAAGGUAGAUCGCAUUGUUUGGGUGAUUUGUUGUCAUGUUCAAAUGUGAUGAUUCAUUGUGAAGAAGAUAGUUGGAUGUGAAAGUUAAAUUAUAGUUGACGAAAUUUAUCAUAUUAUUUGAAGUCCUGGAUGCGCUAGAAGAGGAAAAUUGCUGAAAAGAUAAAAAGACACUAUCUGUGAGGCACGAUUAGUAUCGGUACACCAAUAAUCUAUCGGUGAUUUUCAAUAGCCAUUAGGCUCGAAGUAGUAGGCAGACCAGAAUUUGGGUUCGGAUUGGUCAAACGAAAAUCAAGAAUUUUUUGAGCUGUCUGCAACGAGAUUGCUGCAAAAAACCGAUUUCGUCUAAUCCGAACAAACUCAAAAAAAUCUUGUGGAUCUGUUGUGGAAGUUCCAGCAACAUGAGCAAGGAAGCGUCGAAACCUGCAACGAACGUCACGGUAUGUGUAGGGUGCGCGGCCGGGUGCAACCAGUCGGAUUCGGUAGAAGAUAUGGUGCAAUGCGACACUUGCGAGUCGUGGUGGCACUAUACGUGUGCCAAUGUCGAUGAAACGGUGAAAGACAGAAGCUGGAGUUGUGUAAAGUGCCCUCCUAGGAGAUCUGUAUUGCGAUCUGGUAAGUCAUCCAAGUCGAGAGCUUCCGCGACUUCCUCAUCGAGUGUACGGAGAGCGCAGCUGCAGCUAGAAUUAGAGCGCAUAGAGAAGGAAAA